GAAGAUUAGCGGAAAGGGGAAGAACUUAGGUCACUUGCACUGUAGCAACAGUUGAGAAGUAACCGUUAGUACGAGAGAGGUUAGAGAGUGAUUAGUUUGUUUCAAUUGAAUUAAUUAAACUUAUUUAUUACAAAUGAAUUAGCAAUUUCUUAUAACUAAUUACUCUAUUAAACUAUUUAAUUCCGGAUGAUGCGACUCCGGUAAACUUCAGCACAUUAAGGGAGGAUGUAGAGCACAUCAGAGCUGCAGCCGUGCCAGAAGAAGAAGAAUCAAAUUCUGAAAUCGCGCAGAGCGUCGAUCCAGAACCGUUGAGCGGUCAUGAACCGGAGCCGAGCCGGAGAAGUACACGCAACAGACGCGCACCCGGAUGGCUGAACGAUUUUGAUUUGGGCAGGGUUUAAAUCAUCGUGAUUUCCCUAAAUCCCCAAUUCUUAAAUUUAUAUUUAUUUUAUUAAAGAAACCCCAGUAGUUUUUAAUUUUACAAAAUGUGUAAGGGGUAUAAAAACAUGAUUGCUGGAUGAAAUAAAGACUUAUCAAAUUCCUAAUUCUUAAACUCCAUCCUUUCACAUUCCUCUCCAAAUUAUUCACUCUCCGGCUAAUCUCGCCGAGUACCUUCAUCUCCACCAGCACAACAUCUUAAUUCUUCCGGUAACUCGUCGAAUCUCGCCUGCAACUCAUUUGUUUUCUGCAAUUCCAGCACUGCCAUAUUGAGCACUUAUCCUAAGCAGCUUAACAGCAUUUCUUAGGGUGGCUAAGCCUCAAUUUCAGGGGAGUAUACCCGUCGCGAUCUGCUUCGGACACCCGUGAUUCUUAAAUCACGGAUCUGAAGCACCCAUAAACAUCAGGUGAAUUCAAUUCAUUUGGUCUGAUCCGAUCAAAUCGGUAUCA
rnacentral:lncRNA from 1 species